rnacentral:rRNA from 1 species
UACAGAGGGGGCAAGCGUUAUUCGGAAUUGUUGGGCGUAAAGGGCGCGUAGGCGGCUUGGCAAGUGGAUGGUGAAAUCCCUCGGCUUAACCGAGGAACUGCCGUCCAAACUGCUUCGCUUGAGACCGGGAGAGGUGAGUGGAAUUCCCAGUGUAGCGGUGAAAUGCGUAGAUAUUGGGAGGAACACCAGUGGCGAAGGCGGCUCACUGGACCGGUACUGACGCUGAUGCGCGAAAGCGUGGGGAGCAAACGGG